rnacentral:sRNA from 1 species
UCUGAAACGUAGGCCGUCUCGGUACGGCAGC